rnacentral:rRNA from 1 species
GUGAAUUGCAGAAUUCAGUGAAUCAUCGAAUCUUUGAACGCACAUUGCGCCCGCCAGCAUUCUGGCGGGCAUGCCUGUCCGAGCGUCAUUUCAACCCUCAGGGUCCCCCGGGAACCUGGUGUUGGGGAUCGGCCCCGCCCGCACGGGCGUCGCCGUCCCCCAAAUGC